CACAGACUGCUCUUCUCCGAGAGGCUCUCCAGCGUCUUGAUGCUCUUGAGCGAAAGUAUGAGCAGCACAGACUAACGUUACACGAAGAACCUUACAACGCUUCGAAAAGAAUGAAAAGGGCACCUGAUGUGAGCAUUGCGGAAUCUGUAAGGCGCCUCCAUAAUUCAGAGAACAACCCACACAAAUACGAUCCACAAACCGGAAUAAAUUCAUCACAUAACGUGGCUGUGACCACUUACCUCUUCGAAGAAUUAAGGACAACUUUUACAGACGUUGAACAAGAAUUUGUAAAAGCAGGUUGCAAGAUGUAUUUUGAGACUUUGCGGAGGAAGUAUUCU